rnacentral:rRNA from 1 species
ACUCCUACGGCAGGCAGGAGUGGGGAAUUUUGCGCAAUGGGGGAAACCCUGACCACAACGCCGCGUGAGUGAUGAAGGCCUUCGGGUCGUAAAGCUCUGUCAGAGGGGAAGAAGUGUGCGGGUGCUAAUAUCAUCUGCGCUUGACGGUACCCUCAAAGGAAGCACCGGCUAACUCCGUGCCAGCAGCCGCGGUAAU